rnacentral:rRNA from 1 species
GAUUAACGCUGGCGGCGUGCAUAACACAUGCAAGUCGAACGAUGAAACUUUAAUGAACCCUUCGGGGAGAAUUAAAGCGGAUUAGUGGCGAACGGGUGAGUAACGCGUGAGUAACCUGCCUUACACAAGGGGAUAGCCUUUGGAAACGAAGAAUAAUACCCUAUAAAACCAUAAAAGCACAUGCAAUUAUGGUCAAAGUGAUAGCGGUGUAAGAUGGACUUGCGUCUGAUUAGCUAGUUGGUGAGAUAAAAGCCCACCAAGGCAACGAUCAGUAGCCGGCUUGAGAGAGUGUACGGCCACAUUGGGACUGAGACACGGCCCAGACUCCUACGGGAGGCAGCAGUGGGGAAUUUUGCACAAUGGGGGAAACCCUGAUGCAGCGACGCCGCGUGAUUUAGAAGGCCUUCGGGUUGUAAAAAUCUUUUGUAUAGGAAGAAAAUGACAGUACUAUACGAAUAAGGUCCGGCUAAUUACAUG